GACGAACCGUGCAAACGUUGUUCGGAAUCACUGGGCUUAAAGGGCGCGUAGGCGGGUUGGACAGUCUCAUGGUGAAAGUCCCCCGGCUUAACCGGGGAACUGCCGUGGAUACUGCCAGCCGUCGAGGAGGGUAGGGGGCGUCUGGAACUAGCGGUGGAGCGGUGAAAUGCGUUGAUAUCGCUAGGAACUCCGGUGGCGAAGGCGAGACGCUGGACCCUUCGUGACGCUGAGGCGCGAAAGCCCAGGGGAGGCGAACGGG
rnacentral:rRNA from 1 species